rnacentral:lncRNA from 1 species
UGUAUCAUCAAAUGAUUCAUAUCUAAAGUGUUUUGAGAAGAAGAAGAAGCUAUAUAUGGUGAUUAAAGAGAGAAGAUGAGUAAAGAGAGAAGAUGACGAUGUUUGUCCUUGAGAAAAAAAAAGAACUUGAGAUGGUAGAAAGAACAUGCAAUCAAAAUGUUUUGGUUGUUUGGUAUGGUGAGAAGGAGAGAAAAUGAACUUGUGUUUUCUCUUUGGUUUGGUGAGACGGUAGAACAUGAGAUCAAAAUGUUUGGUCGUUUGGUUUUAUAUAGAGAAUCAGAGUACACAAGUCACUAGUAAUCAGGUGAAUACACAAGUCUUUGAGUACACAAGAUUACAAAAUAGAAAAAUGAUACAUGAGGGUGACACAAAAAAACAGUCUACAAAACAACACAAUGACACAACAAAACAAGAGACAAAAAACUAGACUUGCUUCACAACAGAGUGACAGAACCAAAGUUUUCUUCAGCGUGACACAAAAAAACAAGACAUAAGAAAACAAGACACAAGUACAAAGUCUUCUUAUCCGUGACAAAGGCUUUGGCUUCAUUGUGUAUCUCUAUUAUAUAAAAGGGGUUAAGUUUGAGCUUCCUAAGCCCUGCCACAUGGGAAAAAAUAUUCAGAACCAACCAAUAUGCCAUGUCAUCCCGGACUGGGCUUGAAAUUGAAAAAAAAUUUGUCACCUUCGCGGCCCGUUAGACCCAUCUCGCAGCCCAAUCCCGAGCCUCUCUUCAUAUUGGUCGCAGCCCAUUACCCAUCUCGCAGCCCAAUCCACAGCUCUUGAUACGGUGCGGGUUAUAUCACCCUCCUCUCAGAAAUCUCAAAAUCACUAACCCUAAUCGCCGUCUCGAUCUCUUUGUCGAUUCUCUUCCUCCCCC